rnacentral:rRNA from 1 species
AACGAACGCUGGCGGCAGGCUUAACACAUGCAAGUCGAACGCUCGUGGCAACACGGGAGUGGCGGACGGGUGAGUAACGCGUGGGAACGUGCCCUGAGGUUGGGAAUAACUGCGGGAAACUGCAGCUAAUACCUGAUGAGCCCCGAGAGGGGGAAAGAUUUAUCGCCUUGGGAGCGGCCCGCGUCGGAUUAGCUAGUUGGUGGGGUAACGGCCUACCAAGGCUUCGAUCCGUAGCUGGUCUGAGAGGACGAUCAGCCACACUGGGACUGAGACACGGCCCAGACUCCUACGGGAGGCAGCAGUGGGGAAUCUUGCGCAAUGGGGGCAACCCUGACGCAGCCAUGCCGCGUGAAUGAUGAAGGCCUUAGGGUUGUAAAGUUCUUUUGCCCGUGACGAUGAUGACGGUAACGGGAGAAUAAGCUCCGGCUAACUUCGUGCCAGCAGCCGCGGUAAGGCGUAUGUGU